rnacentral:rRNA from 1 species
CCUACGGGAGGCUGCAGUGGGGAAUAUUGGACAAUGGGCGAAAGCCUGAUCCAGCCAUGCCGCGUGUGUGAAGAAGGCCUUCGGUUUGUAAAGCACUUUCAGUGGGGAAGAAAGCCUUGGGGCUAAUACCCUCGAGGAAGGACAUCACCCACAGAAGAAGCACCGGCUAACUCCGUGCCAGCAGCCGCGGUAAUACGGAGGGUGCGAGCGUUAAUCGGAAUUACUGGGCGUAAAGCGCGCGUAGGCGGUCUGAUAAGCCGGUUGUGAAAGCCCCGGGCUCAACCUGGGAACGGCAUCCGGAACUGUCAGGCUAGAGUGCAGGAGAGGAAGGUAGAAUUCCCGGUGUAGCGGUGAAAUGCGUAGAGAUCGGGAGGAAUACCAGUGGCGAAGGCGGCCUUCUGGACUGACACUGACGCUGAGGUGCGAAAGCGUGGGUAGCAAACAGGAUUAGAUACCCCGGUAGUC